CUUGCCAUGUACUAAAUAAGCAGCCAGAGACGCCAAGCCCAGACCGAUGGGUUUACACGCAGAGGGAAAAGGAAAGAUUGGGGGGGCACACUUUGGGGAGCAGAACCUCGCCGAGGCCCCAGAGAGCAAACAGGAGGGGGGCCUCAGAAGCUGCCCUGGAGGGUGGGGCUAGAGAAAGAUCCCUGGAAGGAUCUAAGCUGGGACAUUGCUAUUUUUAAUUUUUACUCGAUUCCUAAAGCAUCAAAGU
ensembl:misc_RNA